rnacentral:rRNA from 1 species
UACGGAGGGUGCGAGCGUUGUCCGGAAUCACUGGGCGUAAAGGGCGCGUAGGCGGCGCGGGGAGUCAACGGUGAAAGCUCGGCGCUCAACGCCGAGUCGGCCGUCGAUACUUCCGUGCUCGAGCACUGUAGAGGCAGGUGGAAUUCCGGGUGUAGCGGUGGAAUGCGUAGAGAUCCGGAAGAACACCGGUGGCGAAGGCGGCCUGCUGGGCAGUAGCUGACGCUGAGGCGCGACAGCGUGGGGAGCGAACAGG